UGCCUUUGUGUUACCCAUUCACUAUCUCCCACAGUGAAUGUGGUGUCAAAAAAGGCAUAAAAGAACUCUUGCUGAAAAGGUUUCAGGAGGCAGGGUUCUGUACCUUUCCCUCCACAAUGCUGCAAGGACAGAC
rnacentral:snoRNA from 1 species